GAAGGAUCAUUACUGAUUUGCUUAAUUGCACCACAUGUGUUUUUCUUUGAAACAAACUUGCUUUGGCGGUGGGCCCAGCCUGCCGCCAGAGGUCUAAACUUACAACCAAUUUUUUAUCAACUUGUCACACCAGAUUAUUACUAAUAGUCAAAACUUUCAACAACGGAUCUCUUGGUUCUCGCAUCGAUGAAGAACGCAGCGAAAUGCGAUACGUAAUAUGAAUUGCAGAUAUUCGUGAAUCAUCGAAUCUUUGAACGCACAUUGCGCCCUCUGGUAUUCCGGAGGGCAUGCCUGUUUGAGCGUCGUUUCUCCCUCAAACCGCUGGGUUUGGUGUUGAGCAAUACGACUUGGGUUUGCUUGAAAGACGGUAGUGGUAAGGCGGGAUCGCUUUGACAAUGGCUUAGGUCUAACCAAAAACAUUGCUUGCGGCGGUAACGUCCACCACGUAUAUCUUCAAACUUUGACCUCAAAUCAGGUAGGACUACCCGCUGAACUUAA
rnacentral:sRNA from 1 species